AUAGUACUGUGAAGGAAAGGUGAAAAGGACCCCGGGAGGGGAGUGAAAGAGAACCUGAAACCCUGUGUUUACAAGCUGUGGAAGUUCUUUAAAUGAACAACCGCGUACUUUUUGUAGAACGGUCCGGCGAGUUGCGGAUACUGGCAAGGUUAAGCACUUAAGGUGCGGAGCCGAAGGGAUACCAAGUCUUAACAGGGCGUUAAGUCAGUGUACGCAGACCCGAAACCGGGUGAUCUAUCCAUGUCCAGGUUGAAGUUGUCGUAAAAGACAAUGGAGGACCGAAGCCACAUCCGUUGAAAAGGGUGGGCAUGAGGUGUGGAUAGGGGAGAAAUUCCAAUCGAACCCGGAGAUAGCUGGUUCUCCUCGAAAUAGCUUUAGGGCUAGCCUCGAUUUAGUCUUAUGGAGGUAGAGCACUGAAUUUCCGCGGGGGCGUCAAAGCUUACCAAAGAAUAUCAAACUCCGAAUGCCAUGUAGAUGAUGAUCGGGAGUCAGACUGCACGAGAUAAGUUGGGCAGUCAAAAGGGAAAGAGCCCAGACCACCGGCUAAGGUCCCAAAGUGCGUGUUAAGUGGAAAAGGAUGUGGGAAUUCGAAGACAACUAGGAUGUUGGCUCAGAAGCAGCCAUACAUUCAAAGAGUGCGUAACAGCUCACUAGUCGAGAGUUCCUGCGCCGAAAAUGUCCGGGGCUGAAACACGACACCGAAGCCGUGGACUCGCAAUGCGAGUGGUAGAGGAGCAUUCUUAAAACCGACGAAGCUGUACCGGAAGGAGCAGUGGAGGGAUAAGAAGAGAGAAUGCCGGAAUGAGUAGCGAGAGAAAGGUGGGAAUCCUUUCGGCCGAAUAUCUAAGGUUUCCAGAGUAAAGCUGAUCUGCUCUGGGUAAGUCGGGGCCUAAGCACAGGUCGCAAGACGUAAGCGAUGGAUAACAGGUUUAGAUUCCUGUACCACGCAUUAUCAGAACUGUAGGGACGCAUGUGGAAAGCACGGGCCGGGAAUGGAAAGACCGGUACAAGCGGGGUAGGUGUACAAUAGGCAAAUCCGUUGUAUAAUCCGAAGACGUGAUGUGGAGCGAAAUAAAGUAGUGAAGCGUGUGAGCCAUGUGCCGAGAAAAGCUGCUAUUGUGUAAUGCGUGCCCGUACCGUAAACCGACACAGGUGGAUGAGGAGAGAAUCCUAAGGCCGACGGAAGAAGCAUUGUUAAGGAAUUCGGCAAAAUGACCCCGUAACUUCGGGAGAAGGGGUGCCUGCGAGAGCAGGCCGCAGAGAAUAGGCUCAAGCAACUGUUUAGCAAAAACACAGGUCUAUGCGAAACCGAAAGGUGAAGUAUAUGGGCUGACGCCUGCCCGGUGCUGGAAGGUUAAGAGGAGAGGUUAGCGUAAGCGAAGCUUUGAAUUUAAGCCCCAGUAAACGGCGGCCGUAACUAUAACGGUCCUAAGGUAGCGAAAUUCCUUGUCGGGU
rnacentral:rRNA from 1 species